CAGCCGCCGCGGGAAUACGGAGGGGGCUAGCGUUGUUCGGAAUUACUGGGCGUAAAGCGCACGUAGGCGGCUUUGUAAGUUAGAGGUGAAAGCCCGGGGCUCAACUCCGGAAUUGCCUUUAAGACUGCAUCGCUUGAAUCGCGGAGAGGUGAGUGGAAUUCCGAGUGUAGAGGUGAAAUUCGUAGAUAUUCGGAAGAACACCAGUGGCGAAGGCGGCUCACUGGACGCGUAUUGACGCUGAGGUGCGAAAGCGUGGGGAGCAAACAGGAUUAGAUACCCCGGUAGUCCCUGUCUCUUAUAA
rnacentral:rRNA from 1 species